AUUGAACGCUGGCGGCAUGCUUUACACAUGCAAGUCGAACGGUAGCAGGCCGCAAGGUGCUGACGAGUGGCGAACGGGUGAGUAAUGCAUCGGAACGUGCCCAGUCGUGGGGGAUAACUACUCGAAAGAGUAGCUAAUACCGCAUACGAUCUAUGGAUGAAAGCGGGGGACCGUAAGGCCUCGCGCGAUUGGAGCGGCCGAUGUCAGAUUAGGUAGUUGGUGGGGUAAAGGCUCACCAAGCCAACGAUCUGUAGCUGGUCUGAGAGGACGACCAGCCACACUGGGACUGAGACACGGCCCAGACUCCUACGGGGGGCAGCAGUGGGGAAUUUUGGACAAUGGGCGCAAGCCUGAUCCAGCAAUGCCGCGUGCAGGAAGAAGGCCUUCGGGUUGUAAACUGCUUUUGUACGGAACGAAACGGCUCUGGUUAAUACCCGGGGCUAAUGACGGUACCGUAAGAAUAAGCACCGGCUAACUACGUG
rnacentral:rRNA from 1 species